GGUAGGGGAGCGUUCUGUAAGCCGAUGAAGGUGUGUUGAGAAGCAUGCUGGAGGUAUCAGAAGUGCGAAUGCUGACGUGAGUAACGACAAAACGGGUGAAAAACCCGUUCGCCGAAAGACCAAGGGUUCCAGUCCAACGUUAAUCGGGGCUGGGUGAGUCGACCCCUAAGGCGAGGCCGAAAGGCGUAGUCGAUGGGAAAAUGGUUAAUAUUCCAUUACUUCUGUGUAAUGCGAUGAGAGGACGGAGAAGGCUAAAUCAGCCUGGCGUUGGUUGUCCAGGUGAAAGGAUGUAGGCAUGUAUCUUAGGCAAAUCCGGGGUACUCUAUGCUGAGAUCUGAUAGCAAGCUGUACUUGUACAGCGAAGUGGUUGAUGCCAUGCUUCCAGGAAAAGUCUCUAAGCUUCAGUUACACAGGAAUCGUACCCGAAACCGACACAGGUGGUCAGGUCGAGUAGACCAAGGCGCUUGAGAGAACUCUGCUGAAGGAACUAGGCAAAAUGGUACCGUAACUUCGGGAGAAGGUACGCUGUUGUUGGUGAUGGAACUCGCUUCCUGAGCUGACGACAGCCGCAGAAACCAGGCCGCUGCAACUGUUUAUUAAAAACAUAGCACUCUGCAAACACGAAAGUGGACGUAUAGGGUGUGAUGCCUGCCCGGUGCUGGAAGGUUAAUUGAUGGGGUUAGCGUAAGCGAAGCUCUUGAUCGAAGCCCCAGUAAACGGCGGCCGUAACUAUAACGGUCCUAAGGUAGCGAAAUUCCUUGUCGGGUAAGUUCCGACCUGCACGAAUGGCAUAAUGAUGGCGGCGCUGUCUCCAGCAGAGGCUCAGUGAAAUCGAAAUCGCUGUGAAGAUGCAGUGUACCCGCGGCUAGACGGAAAGACCCCGUGAACCUUUACUGCAGCUUGACACUGAACUUUGACCUUACUUGUGUAGGAUAGGUGGGAGGCUUUGAAGCUGGAACGCUAGUUCCAGUGGAGCCGUCCUUGAAAUACCACCCUGGUAAUGUUGAGGUUCUAACUCUGUCCCGUGAUCCGGGACGAGGACCGUGUCUGGUGGGUAGUUUGACUGGGGCGGUCUCCUCCUAAAGAGUAACGGAGGAGUACGAAGGUGCGCUCAGCGUGGUCGGAAAUCACGCGUAGAGUAUAAAGGCAAAAGCGCGCUUAACUGCGAGACCCACAAGUCGAGCAGGUACGAAAGUAGGUCUUAGUGAUCCGGUGGUUCUGUAUGGAAGGGCCAUCGCUCAACGGAUAAAAGGUACUCUGGGGAUAACAGGCUGAUACCGCCCAAGAGUUCAUAUCGACGGCGGUGUUUGGCACCUCGAUGUCGGCUCAUCUCAUCCUGGGGCUGAAGCAGGUCCCAAGGGUAUGGCUGUUCGCCAUUUAAAGAGGUACGCGAGCUGGGUUUAGAACGUCGUGAGACAGUUCGGUCCCUAUCUACCGUGGGCGCUGGAAAUUUGAGAGGAUCUGCUCCUAGUACGAGAGGACCAGAGUGGACGAACCUCUGGUGUACCGGUUGUGACGCCAGUCGCAUCGCCGGGUAGCUAUGUUCGGAAGGGAUAACCGCUGAAAGCAUCUAAGCGGGAAGCCUACCUCAAGAUAAGAUUUCCCUAGGACUUUAUGUCCUCUAAAGAGCCGUUCGAGACUAGGACGUUGAUAGGUUGGAUGUGGAAGCAUAGUGAUAUGUGAAGCUGACCAAUACUAAUUGCUCGUGAGGCUUGACU
rnacentral:rRNA from 1 species